GCAAGAUGGUGGUUUCAGUGACGAAACGUGUAUCGUCGUUUGCGGAGAAAAAUCUUCUCACAGAAAUUGCAUCCGAUGAUAAUUUUGAUCCGAAGAAGCUGAAGUGGAAUGAAAAGAGGUUAGAAUCAGUAAUCUCGAGAAACACAGAGAGGGGAAAAGCUUGACAGUUUCGUCAAAGAAAGAUAAAAGUUAAGAUUGAUCAUGACAGUCACCCUAGAUUUUCAUUGGAAUGGAGGAAUGAAGGAGUGAAGAUUCAAGUGAAUACAAGCCGGCAUUUCUCCAAAGAACUUUGUUUCUGCUUGUUUUGAACCCGACUCCAAUCUCAACUACACACUCCUCGCCCAAAUCCAUCUCUGUAUAAAGGUGUCUGCAUGAGAGGCAAAAUACGCUUCAGCAAAACCGUGCAUCAAAAUGUGCUUCAGAAGACUUUCUACAGAACUUCGUGACUCUAUAUUUACUGAGAUUUAUUAUCAUCAAGGACUUGAGAUGCUGAAUUGCUUAACUUAUUUUUAUUCGACAGAAAAACUCUUCACUUUUCAUCUGCUCGAGAAACAUCAUUUUCACUGGAGAACUUCGCCGAGAUUAACCAAAUCUCAUGCGAGGUUUGUUGAUGGGUCUUUGGUCGGUUGUUCUACCCUUCAUCUGUCGAUUUGAACUCAAUAAUUUGGUGAACAUUUGCGGACAGACAUGUUUGUGGACCUUUGGAAGGAGACUUUUUCACUGGAUCUUGAAAUGGAAAUAUGUUUUUGUGCUUAUGUUGAUUGGACAUGGAUACAGAUGGGAAUGCUGAGACUGAACAAAAGUUCCUGUAUGAGUGAGUCCUUUUACCCGCAGACCAGUACAGCAAUAUCA
rnacentral:lncRNA from 1 species